rnacentral:rRNA from 2 species
UGGGGAAUAUUGCACAAUGGGCGAAAGCCUGAUGCAGCGACGCCGCGUGAGGGAUGAAGGCCUUCGGGUUGUAAACCUCUUUCAGCAGGGAAGAAGCGCAAGUGACGGUACCUGCAGAAGAAGCGCCGGCUAACUACGUGCCAGCAGCCGCGGUAAUACGUAGGGCGCAAGCGUUGUCCGGAAUUAUUGGGCGUAAAGAGCUCGUAGGCGGUUUGUCGCGUCUGGUGUGAAAACUCGAGGCUCAACCUCGGGCUUGCAUCGGGUACGGGCAGACUAGAGUGCGGUAGGGGAGACUGGAAUUCCUGGUGUAGCGGUGGAAUGCGCAGAUAUCAGGAGGAACACCGAUGGCGAAGGCAGGUCUCUGGGCCGCAACUGACGCUGAGGAGCGAAAGCAUGGGGAGCGAACA